CCUACGGGGGGCAGCAGUGGGGGAUAUUGCACAAUGGGGGAAACCCUGAUGCAGCGACGCCGCGUGAGUGAAGAAGUAUUUCGGUAUGUAAAGCUCUAUCAGCAGGGAAGAAAAUGACAGUACCUGACCCAGAAGCCCCGGCUAACGACGUGCCACCAGUCGCGGUAAUACGUCGGGGGCAGGCGUUAUCCGGAGUUACUGGGUGUUAAGGGGGCGUAGACGGUUAUGUAAGUCUGGAGUGAAUGCCCGGGGGCCAACCCCGGGACUGCGUUUGAAACUGUGUAACUGGAGUACAGGAGGGGUAGGCGGAAUGCCCGGUGUAGCGGUGAAAUGCGUAGAUAUCAGGAGGAACACCGGCGGCGAAGGCGGCCUGCUGGACUGAAACUGACGUUGAGGCACGAAAGCGUGGGGAGCAAACAGGAUUAGAUACCCGUGUAGUC
rnacentral:rRNA from 1 species